CAAUAAGCGGAGGAAAAGAAACCAACAGGGAUUGCCUCAGUAACGGCGAGUGAAGCGGCAACAGCUCAAAUUUGAAAUCUGGGUCUUUCAGGCUCCGAGUUGUAAUUUGUAGAAGAUGCUUCGGGUGUGGCUCCGGUCUAAGUUCCUUGGAACAGGACGUCAUAGAGGGUGAGAAUCCCGUACGUGACUGGUUGCCUUCGCCCAUGUGAAGCUCUUUCGACGAGUCGAGUUGUUUGGGAAUGCAGCUCAAAAUGGGUGGUAAAUUUCAUCUAAAGCUAAAUAUUGGCCAGAGACCGAUAGCGCACAAGUAGAGUGAUCGAAAGAUGAAAAGCACUUUGGAAAGAGAGUUAAACAGUACGUGAAAUUGUUGAAAGGGAAGCGCUUGCAACCAGACUUGCACGCUGCCGAUCAUCCGGGGUUCUCCCCGGUGCACUCGGUUGCGUUCAGGCCAGCAUCGGUUUGGGUGGUUGGAUAAAGGCCUUGGGAAUGUAGCUUCUUUCGGGGAGUGUUAUAGCCCUCGGUGCAAUGCAGCCUACCCGGACCGAGG
rnacentral:rRNA from 1 species